AUUGAACGCUGGCGGCAGGCCUAACACAUGCAAGUCGAACGGUAACAGGAAGCAGCUUGCUGCUUCGCUGACGAGUGACGGACGGGUGAGUAAUGUCUGGGAAGCUGCCUGAUGGAGGGGGAUAACUACUGGAAACGGUAGCUAAUACCGCAUAAUGUCGCAAGACCAAAGAGGGGGACCUUCGGGCCUCUUGCCAUCGGAUGUGCCCAGAUGGGAUUAGCUUGUUGGUGGGGUAACGGCUCACCAAGGCGACGAUCCCUAGCUGGUCUGAGAGGAUGACCAGCCACACUGGAACUGAGACACGGUCCAGACUCCUACGGGAGGCAGCAGUGGGGAAUAUUGCACAAUGGGCGCAAGCCUGAUGCAGCCAUGCCGCGUGUAUGAAGAAGGCCUUCGGGUUGUAAAGUACUUUCAGCGGGGAGGAAGGGAGUAAAGUUAAUACCUUUGCUCAUUGACGUUACCCGCAGAAGAAGCACCGGCUAACUCCGUG
rnacentral:rRNA from 1 species